GAUGAACGCUAGCGGCAGGCUUAACACAUGCAAGUCGAGGGGUAGAGUUAGCUUGCUAACUUGAGACCGGCGCACGGGUGCGUAACGCGUAUGCAAUCUACCUUGUACAGAGGGAUAGCCCAGAGAAAUUUGGAUUAAUACCUCAUAGUAUUAUUGAAUGGCAUCAUUUGAUUAUUAAAGUUCCAACGGUACAAGAUGAGCAUGAGUCCCAUUAGCUAGAUGGUAAGGUAACGGCUUACCAUGGCAACGAUGGGUAGGGGUCCUGAGAGGGGGAUCCCCCACACUGGUACUGAGACACGGACCAGACUCCUACGGGAGGCAGCAGUGAGGAAUAUUGGUCAAUGGGCGCAAGCCUGAACCAGCCAUGCCGCGUGCAGGAAGACGGUCCUAUGGAUUGUAAACUGCUUUUAUACGGGAAGAAACCCUGCUACGUGUAGCAGCUUGACGGUACCGUAAGAAUAAGCAUCGGCUAACUCCGUGCCAGCCGCCGCAGUAA
rnacentral:rRNA from 1 species